rnacentral:pre_miRNA from 1 species
UUUGCGGGGAAUGUUGUCUGGCUCGAGGACUUUUUCAUCUUGAUCUAUAGAAAUAUAUCUGUCAAGAAAUGUUUAGUGUUCUCGGACCAGGCUUCAUUCCCCACAAU